rnacentral:rRNA from 1 species
GACGAACGCUGGCGUUCGUGCCUAAUACAUGCAAGUCGAGCGAGCUUGCCUAGAUGAUUUUAGUGCUUGCACUAAAUGAAACUAGAUACAAGCGAGCGGCGGACGGGUGAGUAACACGUGGGUAACCUGCCCAAGAGACUGGGAUAACACCUGGAAACAGAUGCUAAUACCGGAUAACAACACUAGACGCAUGUCUAGAGUUUGAAAGAUGGUUCUGCUAUCACUCUUGGAUGGACCUGCGGUGCAUUAGCUAGUUGGUAAGGUAACGGCUUACCAAGGCAAUGAUGCAUAGCCGAGUUGAGAGACUGAUCGGCCACAUUGGGACUGAGACACGGCCCAAACUCCUACGGGAGGCAGCAGUAGGGAAUCUUCCACAAUGGACGAAAGUCUGAUGGAGCAACGCCGCGUGAGUGAAGAAGGGUUUCGGCUCGUAAAGCUCUGUUGGUAGUGAAGAAAGAUAGAGGUAGUAACUGGCCUUUAUUUGACGGUAAUUACUUAGAAAGUCACGGCUAACUAC